rnacentral:tRNA from 8 species
GCGUUCGUAGCUCAGUUGGUUAGAGCACCACCUUGACAUGGUGGGGGUCGGUGGUUCGAGUCCACUCGGACGCACCA